rnacentral:ncRNA from 16 species
AGGUCGAGGCGACCAGCGGUUCCUUGAAAUUGGCCUGUUGCAUCGGAUCGAAGUAGCCGCCCGGGUUGCCCGCCAUCCAGGUAUAGGUACGGGUCGAGCUGAGCCAUUGCAGGAACAGAUAGACCGCCUCGGGAUGCUGCGACUGCGACGAGAUCCAGGCCGUGAUGUGGUAAUACAGAACCGACCGGCGGUUCAGCUGAUCACCAAAGCGGCGCCCCACCGGCAGGUGG